UACAGAGGUCCCGAGCGUUGUUCGGAUUCAUUGGGCGUAAAGGGUGCGUAGGCGGCGGGGCAAGUCUGAUGUGAAAUCCUGGGGCUCAACCCUGGAACUGCAUUGGAUACUGCCUUGCUAGAGUACUGGAGAGGAAACUGGAAUUUACGGUGUAGCAGUGAAAUGCGUAGAUAUCGUAAGGAAGACCAGUGGCGAAGGCGAGUUUCUGGACAGUUACUGACGCUGAGGCGCGAAGGCCAGGGGAGCAAACGGG
rnacentral:rRNA from 1 species